rnacentral:SRP_RNA from 1 species
GCCGGGCCUGGUAACGUGGGCUUGUGACUCAAGUGAGGGCAUGAAGGUGGUUGAAGGUUGGUUUGGCUGGAGAGGUAGGGUGCGCUGGGGUUGAGACACUGGCUCGCCCGUUCCAAGUGGGGAGUUUGAAUCUUGUGAUCCGACCGAAGGGUUGGGUGACGUGGUUCCUAGAGUGGAGGGCACCGCGUGAGGCUGGAUUCACAGAGCAGCGUUCACCUCCCGCUCCCUUCGGUGGAAGGAUAACGUGCUGGUACUCCACGGGCCCAACGACGCCUCCUCAGCCGCUCACAACCCGACAACCACUUUU